UGAUAUUUCUCACAUCGAUGUUUUUUUCCUCUCUCUCUCAUAUCAAUAAACAUACUCAGUUGAGGAAUAAAAAUAAAAAAAUUUAAAAAAUGGCUUCUCUUAGCUUCAGGAGGCCAUUAAACACUAAUUGAAGAAUACCUUGUAAUUUGAAAAGAAUUUAACAGAUAAGUAAAUGCAGUAGUUAUUAAAAAUAAAGUUCAGAAUUCAAAAACUC